rnacentral:misc_RNA from 1 species
CAUUGCUCUUCUCCACGAAAGGCAACCAGUGUCGCACCGGGGUGCGUCUCCAAUGCACGCGCGUAUGUGUGCUCGAGCUCGGCACCCCCUCCGCACCCCUUGUGCACCUCAUCACGUGCAAAUCGCCCCGACACACAUCGAUUAGAGCAAGAGAAGCUGCUCUCAACGCUCGCGGAGUGGCAUCAGCAGCGAGCACGCGCCGGCACAGGGAUAUUCGCAUGUGUAUGCACACAGAUACAAGCAGCGAAAAGUGAGGAGGGGCUCGUCUUUUUAGAGGGGUGGCGAUCAAGGGAGGGAGGGGUUUCGACUCCUGCCAUCUGUAUGAGUUGAGCCACGUCUUCUUCACCCUCGCAGUCCGUCACGCACACAGACGCGCUGACGCUUUCCCAUUCCACCGCCCAUCCCCUCCACACCCCCUCUUGUCACCCUUUCGGGCAAUGCUUGUCUGCUGUGCGCUGAAUCGCCGCGCAGGUGGGCGGAUUCACAUCGGCUCAUUCGCAUGCGGGGGAUCCUUCGGAGCUCCUGCGGCAAUGGCCGCUGUCACCGCUUGCGCAUCUGGCGCCGCAGCGCCGCCAACCUCGGGGUGUCGCGACGAGAGAAACACGAAAAGGGAACCGCCGGGCCAGUCGUGGACCUUUUCCAACGACGGCAACGACGGCGCAGCCCGUGACUUAGAUGGCACGCUCUGCAGCUGGUCGAUACAAUCAGCCUUGCAGAUGGCCUACCCGCCUGUACCCUUGGUGACAGCCUUCUACGGCCACUGCGCACGUCUGCAGUCGCCACGGCACUUCUGUCAAUGCGAUCUACUCACUCUGCCGGCCAACGGAUGCUCAGCGAGUCUAGGUGCGGCCCAAGGAGAAAGCACAGCAGUGCCCGUGGGGAGCGCGCGCGUUGCAGACUGGAACGUUGAUGGCGGCGGUAGCAGUGCUGCGCUACUGCUGAUGCUGCACGACGUUGCCACACUGCCGUGGGCAGCAGGCUUACGCCUUCCUCUCACCCUGCACGGAGCGGCUACGUGCGCUCAUGACGAGAUGGCGCGGCGGGAGCUGCCGGCGGCCGUUGCCGUCAAGAGAAACCGCGGUGGUGCUAGCAAACCGUCAGGCGCUGCCCCAUCGAUUGCACGCGUAGGUGGUGAGGUAUCAACGCAGUCCCGCACCACCUCCGUCGUCACUGCAGAGGCUUCCCUCGCAAAGUCCGACGUAGAAGGCGAGGAGCAAGGCAGCGUAGCCACCUCGUGGCGCACCGCCACUGCCGCUGACCACCAAGCUGACAGGGACACCUGGCAGCCUUUCAGUGAGUACAGCGAGCCACAAGCCUGCGCGGAGACGUCGGCGCUUGCACUGCGCUCAUUUGCCGUCGCGCAACUUGGCCAGCGCGUGCCGCUGGUGGCCCUCGUGGCUGAGAGAGGAUUCGAUGCCAAGUCAACGUUCUCUGCCCUCACCGAGCACUGUGUUACCCGUCGAGCCUGCGCGGUGUACAACCAUCAGUGCUCAAACAGCCCUGCCUGGCUCCCGCCGCGCACGGCUGUGCAUCGCAUGCCGGUGGAAGUGUAUGCGGAGCGCACCCCGUUGGUGCAGACGAGUGGCACCGCCGCCUUGCAGCGGGCACUUUGGCAAGGACUGAGCCGUGUCUUGGCAGCAUCGGCUGACCACAGCAGCCACGGCGCUGCGCAUUCACCUGCAACAUUGCGGUCCUCGCCAUCGAAGCCAUGCGGAGGACUGCGGUGGCCUAUAUCACCGCUGGCACAUCUCGUCUGGAACGGGCAGUGUUGGGUGGCAGAAACAGACGUGCAGGUGGCGGAGAUGGAGGAGCGGCUCCUCGGCGCGCUGCUGGGCGACGGUGAUGAGGAUGCGGCUGAUGCUAGUGCUGGUGCAGCUCGAUCAACAGCGAACAGGAACGCGGUCAUGUGCGGCACGCCUGCUACGCGGAGUAACACUCUUGAAAAGGGCGGCGCAGGUCGGUUAGAGGCACUCCGGAUAGGCUUGAAUGCGCAGGGCCCUGCGUAUCCUCGGCUCUGGCUGCCGAGCUGCUGGCGUCGUUCCAGCGGUUUAGCUGAAAUAUUGACGCCUCUUUUUCGAGAUCCGGGCGACGGUAGUGCGGGAAUCGGUGCAGUGUGUAGCCGUCCAGCAGGCGCUGCCGCCCCGGCCGCCUCACGGUGCGCGUUUUCCAGCAGGUCGUAUGAGGCCUGGAAGCGCACCAGUGAAGAUGGACGAGUCGUGGAAGCGGCAGUAGAGGCAGCCACAGCUGGCGCACAGAUACCAGCGGCGCUGCGCUGCAGUCAGUGGAUGCUGCGCUUGCGAAAGGCGUGGCUUGUCGCCAGCCCUAACGUAAAAUCGGCCUCGCUUUCUCGUGCAGGUGCAGCAGCGGGAGCUGACGUCGCUGCGAAACUGAGCCUUGGCAACGCGGGCGUGAAGCCAGUGCCAUCUCUGCUCGAUGCAGCUCGCGGUGCCAGCGACCACUCGCGUGCCCCCUCUUCGAGGUCGCCAGCACCAGUACCCGUGAGGUACCCCAAUUACGACCUCCUUACCGGCUUGCCGCUGAACUUGCGCGACUACGACGCGGCUGCCAGAAGGGCCCGAGACGCUGCCAGGAGCUCCCGCGCGUCCUCCUUCUCCUCUUCAGCUUCGAAGUCAGCCAUGCUGUCGCUGUGGCCUUCCUGGACGACAAAGGCACCACCUGCACACAAGUGCUGCGUGCAAGCGGCGCAGGCUGCCACCUUUCAGUAUGCGGAUGAUCCGUUCUUCCUUGCGGCUCUCUCGCAGCAGGUGGGGUGGAUCCGUGUAUCUCCGACCUGCAAUCCGCACACGCCUCACGUAGGCGCCUCAUCGGCAUCGGCGCCGAUGGCUACCCCGGGCACGGGACCGGUGUCGUGGCAGUUGCCUGAUGCGCUGCGCAGGUGCUACAAAAUACCCAGCUCCAUCGCGGAUGUCCCUCAGCGCUGGCUGUGUGGUGGCGCAAAGACAGCGGCGCAGACAGCCGCUCCCAGCAUUGAUGUUGCCUUGUCCACAGCGCCGGUACAACACCUGCCUCCUUUGCCGCUGCCGCCCGUUGCGAGCGUAUCGGUGCCGCAGCAAGAGUGGUGGACAGGCUUUUUCCUGCAUGACGCCCCGCACUGGUGGCACCGCGAGGUGUUCAAAGGCGCGCAGCAACUCUGGGCGGCAAAAAGCACUUGCAACGGCAGGCUCGCAGCGCCGGUGCGGCCGCGGCACGAGCGCGAUGCUGAGCGCGUAGCAGCUGCUGAGGAGGUCGCGCGGAUACUAUUGUUUCUUCAGGAAGAGUGUCGUGUUCCGCCGCCUCCGGUGAGCGCUUCCAGCACAGCAACUGCCGUGGCAUCCCCAUACCACGACGCGCCUAGCUUGACGUCAGAGCCCUCGUCACCGGUAGAGAUGACGCAGAAGACGGCGACCUUGCCGCCGCAUGUAUGCGUGCUUCGACUGGCACCUGUCGCCCCUCUGCUGUGCCGGCCACGCCGAUUAUUGAGGUGUGGCGAGAAGGGCAAGCAACAGCACCACUGCGCAUCCACUUCGGCCACGGAGGCUCCGUCGUUGGAGCUGCAGUGGUCCCUUGUGCCGGACACAGCCGCGGUGACAGUGAACACUUUCUUCUCUCUGCAGGACGUGUUGAGUGACGCUGGACCUUCUGGGACGGCUUCCGGUGCGCUGCCGCCGACCUCGUCGGCGGGCCGCGCGGUGCUGUUUUACGUCGAGGUCAAGGCUGGGUUGGAGGUACUGCGGCGGGUGGCACACGCAGCGGCUGCCCGGGAAGACUCCUCCGACGGCGAGGAAGGCCCCUCGCCCGCCCCUUCCUCGUCUAAUGCCUGGUGGGAACAACUGAGUGCCUUCUACGACGCCAAUACGUUUGUGGCGCAAGAAACCGCACCUCCGGCGACGGUGUCGACAACAGACGAGGGCAACAAAGGCAUCAGAAGUGGUGGCUGCGAGGCGGUCGGUACAACCCGCCACGAUGCUGUCGCGCACGAGAGCGCUGUACCGGCCUUCUGCCACCCUGCAGUGACGGAGGUGGUGCGGGCAUGUGCGCAACUGAUGCUGCGAUGCGGAGGGCCAUCGCACAACCGCCAUGUGAGCGACUCCCACAUCACACUCGGCAGCGGUGGCCGUGAAGGCAACAGGGUUUCAGCAGAGGCAGUUGCAGUAUGGUCACGCGUGGACUACGAUGCGCUGCUUCGCUCCGCAGUCGUCGCGUCCGCAAGGGCCGCAGCUACGCCUUCCUCGGCAGCUUGCUUGCGCAGCAAGGUCUCUAAUGGCGACGGUGGCCGGAGUGGUGCAGAUGAAGAAGCGGACGAGGAGGGGGCGCCGGACCAAGCAGAUGAGGCCGCGGCGCGCACCGACAACGGAAGCGAGAGCUCGUGUGCAGGGUCGGCAGUCACGCACGAAACGCAGCGCACACGCCCGGCCAGUGGCGCAGUGGCACACUCUAUCCGAGACCAUGCGACGAGUGUUGGACAGGACAGUCCAUCAUCUGCUCAAGUGGCGCUGGGGUCGUCGUCGACGCCAUCAUGCUUGCCAUACGGCAUGGAGGUGUACGAGUACGACGAGGAGGGCACGCGGAGUGCCCCGUGCCUUAGCUGCGGGGGCCUCGCUGUGUCUCUGAACCAUGCACAGCCUCCAGCGACUGAACCGGCUGACUGGCCAGCUGUGGAUCGUCGCGUCCCGCUCGAGCCCCACUGCCGACUGAGCGAGGCCCUUCAGCCCCACAGAAACCCUGGCAGCUUUGGCGCGGUGGCAGGUGCGGGUCCCGCCUCCGCCUCCUCCUCCUCCAUCGACACCUGUGCCAAUUCUAGCGCCGCGUCUCUCUCGUCCGCUGGCUUGCCGUCUGCCUCUCUGUCGAGCGGAAAGUCUGUGCAAGCGGUGGCGCUUGGCGAGGCGUCUGUCGCCUCCAUCCUCGACGCCCGAAGGGAGGCCAAGCAGAGCGACGGAGACGUCGGCGCAGACGACGGACCACGAGCGCAGCGCCAGCUGCGAAGUGCCGAGCUCCUCGUUCAGAAUGAGGAAUCCCUGUAUGCAGGGUCUUCUAAAGGCAGCGCCUACAGUGCAUCCCCGAUGCCCUCAAGCGCGGAUGGCGAGUCGCCGUCGCCUCCGUUGGACGUGAUGGGUACCUUGAUAGCGGAGGAGCACCAUCGAUUUAAGAUGGAGUGGCGACAGUGGCUGCGAUACCUGCCUCCGACCGCCACGCAACAGAGAAACACGCCGUCAUCAAUUACAGAGCCCACAGGGCCCCAAAAACGCGUGUCCAGCGUGUUUGGCUUUCUGCAGUCGUCGGCGGCCUCCGAAUACUGCACUGGCUCCUCUUCAAGAGCUCGCACAACCUCCCGAGGCGACGGUGGAGAGCGCAACGCCGACGACUCAGCCCUGCCAGCGGCAGCAACAGCAUCGGAUGGUGCGGUGGUCGUCCUCGACCUGGGACUUUGCGUGCUGCAUGUAUGUCGCACAGAGGUAUACGUGAACGCCGCCAAUUUGCUCUGCCAUGAGGAGGCUCAUACAGAGAGACAAGACGACUGAGGAAGAGAGGGAGGGGCACGGACGGAUGGCUUUCAUAAACGCGAGUAGCGAAACAGAGAGAGACGUCCAGACCGGGCAUGAAUAAAGCAGCCGGCUGCGUCGCGCGCUCAGUGUGCGUGCGUGGAUGUGCCCAUGCAGGCUCUCGCCAUGGAAGCACGUCUGUGACCCUCCCUUUCUCUCGCGCCCUCUCCUCGCCGCCCUAAUCUACGCAG